GGUGGUCUGUAGUUUAUUCUGAUGACAAAAAUGCCUGGAACAUGGUGAUUUGUUGUUGGGUCUUCAUUCUCCAAGAGCACCAAGGACAUCACCAGGGUGACGUCUGGACUUGCAUGUGAAUUGGAUGCGUGAGGCCGAGCUGCAGGUUGUCAGCCUCGCUGCCUCCUCCAGAGUCCUCAGAGUCCAGUGGCGAGACACAGGGAUUUUCCUAGUGCGAAGGUCUGAAACUAUAUCACGGGCUGCUUUUGCAACUGACCUGCCCAAGCCGAUGAUCUGGUUUUGAAGACCUGCUGUACUCACAGGUAAGGGCUGGACUGAUGCUUCAAUCUUAUGGUAUUUGGUGUUUUUAGAAACAACCCCCUAGUAAAACAAACUUUGCUUUAGCACCAUAUGGCCACUGGGUACAAGGGGAGAGCCGAAUAGCUCUCACUGUCCUGAGGUUCUUCUUUUGGCAGAGGGGACCCCAGACUCAAACCCAGGGAAGGAGGUGGAGUCCAGUCCUCUGAGACGCCUGAGGUUUCGGCUCUUGGCCUGGUCUCCCUCAAGGCUGGCUUUGGGAAUAAAGCCCUGAUCUGGAGCCCUGGGGGAUCUUCCUGGGGCUCUGUCUGGGAACUGUCUCCUUCUCCCUUCAGCCUGGAAAGUAGAAAUCCCACCACGGGAGGGUUCCACCGUGCCUUUUCCUGGCCCAGCGUCAGAGUGAUUUGCCUGCCUCUUCCCUCAUUUGCUCUCAGAUUCACCAUGUAUUUACCGGGAGGCCAAGGGAAACUUGGGAAUGCUUUUACCAUUUUGCUAUGGGAAGGCCUCAUUCUGAAAGGCUUCCAGUGUGACCCCAUCACAGUAAGAAGUCAUAUUUCUUUGACGUGAGCACCCAGAGGAAAUGCCCCCUCUCUGGUUAUGGCCAAACAUGGAAAGCCUAGAUGGUAAUAUCUGGGUGCAUUCAGCAAGAGGGCGGCUCCCCGGCAGGCCAUUCGUUCACCCACCCCUCCUGCCCCCUGGGGCCCUGGGCUGGCCAUCUCUGCUUUGGAGAGAUUUCUGGUCUCAGGCCAUGGUGACUCUCAAUCCAGUCUCCCCAACGCACCAGCCAGGUAGGGAAGCUCCAGGUGUACCUGGGGCUUGGGAGGCUUCAUAAGCUUGCUCUGGAGUUUUACUUUUUU